UUUAGUAAUAUCCUAUAUUUCUUGAGGGCACUGGCCGCAAGUUUUUUUUUUUUUUUUUAAAUCUUCACGUCCCCAAAGCCUAGCCAUCGAAUGCCUUGGACAUUAAAUGCUUAAUAAAUGGUGAAUUAAAUUUUGUUUGGUCCAAGAGGGCAGGAGUAGGAUCAGUGGAUGGAAAUUACAGGAGCCAGACCUUUGCUCUACAAAUAGAACUUAAAACACCAAACAAUUACAGCUGUUGGUCAAUUCCGUGUAGCUGGUGUGGCGUGGGGUGCAUGAUUAAGCGAGGACGCGUGUAGAAGGGUUUGUUUUGCACCUGGAUGGGACAUCACAUUCCAUAAUCCUCAAGUUCUUCUUCAACUCUAAAAGAUUCUGUGCUUCCACUAACACUCGUUCGGUGAUUCACUAUUAGACGGGUCACCUAAGCGUGUUCGCUGAUGUACAUUCAUAUCGCUGGGCGCUACAGGGUUGUUGCGGGUAUUGCUCUCGUGUUAGUGGAGGGUAGAGGGAAUAAACAAUGAUAUACGCAAAGGGGGACGUGAUGCAACCGGGUACCCAUGGGUAGAGAUCGGUUUGCGCCCGGGGAUCCAGUGAUACGGGAUAAAACCGGUCCUCCUUGCGAGGAGGUCCCAGCCGGGCGCGGCUCCUGCACCGAAACACGUGACUCCCUUGGCUCUAGCCCCACAGCUAAGGAUGAAGACACAGAUAACCCAGAGAAGUGACUGACCUGCCCACAGUUACAUGGAUAGUGAGUAAUAUAGUGGGGAUACAAUUCCAGCAUUCUGCACCAUACUAGGUUAUCACAGCAACAGGUUUUGAGUCUUUCAAGAUUCUACCUUGACCCAAGAGCCAAGUCCAUUAUCUAGGUAGUCUCCUUUGGGGAACCAGGGACCAUUUGCCAAAAAACCUUUAUUGACUAAUAUCUGUCCUUUUAGUCAAAUAAAGCAUGUUCCCUGCCCACAAGAAGUUUACAGUCCUAGUUAGGGAAAGGAAGCAUAAAUAUAGGAAAAGAAUACAAUCUGAGGUUAUAUGAUAAUCUUUUCAGUCUUAGUUCUGAUGAGAAAAAUCCUUGGGUAGAGAAAGGAAGACUUGGUGGAGACUGGUGGUAUGAGCUGGGUCUUGAAAGGUAGUUAAUAAAGAUAGCUAACGUUUAUGUAGUGCUUUGUUGUUUACCAAGUGCUUUUCUUAAUUAGCAUUUAACCUAGAACUGACUUUCCAGGUUUUGUGUUUAAGCCUUUACAAAUACCUUGUUUAAUCCUCACAACUAAAUUGAAGCAAAUAGAGAUUAAGUGAAUUGCCUAGGGUAGUGACAGUGAACCUGUGGCACAGGUGCCAAAGAUGGCAUGCAGAGCUCUCUCUAUGGUCAUGUGCCACUCUUCCCCCCCCUACCCAGAGUUUGUUACUAGGCAGAGAGACUUGGGUGAGGGGUUUCCCUCCCCCUCUGCACCAUGUCUCCCCAUCUCUACCCAGCAGCCUAAUGAGAGCACACAGGAGGUGGGGUGGGGUGGCUUCACUGGUGGCAGAGGUGGAGGGGAGUGUAGUGCUGGGGCCACUCUCCUCCGCUUCUCUCCACCUCCAUCCAUCAGCCCAAUAGAAGUGCUUUCUCUAUACCCUGUGUGGGGUAAAGAGCGGGGAGGCAGGGUAUUCCCAGCAUGUGGUGGUGGUGGGGCCUGGUACUCUUGUCUCUAAGAGGUUUGCCAUCAGUGGCCUAGAGUCAUUGUCCAAGGCAUGGUAUGCCUACUACUAAGGCCCACCUGUCAGCUAAUUAGUUACUAUUUUACAUAUAAAUUGGGAAAUAAUCUCAAGGAGGGAACAUGACUGAGAAGACAUAAUUUAAAAAAAAAAACACAAAUUGUAUUUUUGAAGUACAUUGGCCCCAGAUGCCUGGAACUAAAACUGUUAGUGAUUUUGUGAUUGUGAUGAAGUUAAUUACACAUUGGGGUAUAGGGAACCCUGAGCCUAGAAAAUUGGAAUUUUGAGACCAUUAAAAAGAUAACAGCUGGAAACUUGAUUAUAUUCAAGAAUAGUUGGUGGUAGAAUUUGCAGGCCUGGUAGUAUUGCUGAGUGGUGAGUGAUAGGAAUGUGAGGUAGGUGGUAGGUCUCCUGGGGGCAUAACUGGUCUUAGAGGCUCAUAAUGCCCGUUAGUUCCUUCUUGGAGUGGGAGCACCUUUAAUUGCUUUCACUCGGAACUGGAUUUGUGGGGAGCUGUGGCAGUUCAGGGUAUCUUGGGAAGGGAAAGGAUCCCAAAUGGGUUAGAUAGCUUAAGGGAGUUUCUUAAAGAAAUAAAGAGAACCUAUAAGCAAACUUUGGGGAGAUUAACCCUAGUUCUUUAAGCUUGUGGGCGGCUUCCCUCUAGAACCCAGCCUGCAAAGAGGGGACCUAGGAAUAAAAUUUUGCUAGGGACAGGUGACCAGGCUGCUUUUUCUUAAUCCUCUGUGAACCCUGGUAGCACAUGAGUGGGAGAAGGAAGUGAGGAUGGCAGAUGGGAAUCUUCGCACACUACCUGCUGCUCUCACAGCCCAUCUUCGGGUCUCCGGAGGGCAGCCCCGUUAGCAGGACUUUCUCUGUAAGGAUCCAGCUCAGCAAGCAAAGGCACCAGCGUUUACUAGGGUUCUCUAGGGGUAGAACACUAUCCUGGGUCCUCCUGCACCUGGGGGAGAAGAUGCACAAAGCUUCAAUCCACAUGAUGUGGUUGCAUUAGUAAUGUGCUAAGCCAAGUGUUCGAUAAAUGGAGAGAUUUUUGUCCAAGGGGGACAUUGUAGAAGGUUCUCUAGGCAGUUGACUGAGGCCUGCCUCUAAGCCUGGGCUCUCGAGAGCUGUCUGUUAGAAGGCCCGGAUGUCUGAGCGACACCUACAAUUUGGUAUAUUCAAAUCACACUUGUGUCUUUCUCCUUCCAACCCUCUGUCUUCCAAACUUUCCUUUUCUUUGGAGGGCAAAAUCAUGCCAGUCACCCAGGCUCACCCCACUAGUGUUUUCCUCACUCUCAGUCUCCCUCCCCCGAGCCGCCACGGCAGUUCAGACCCUCUUCUGGACUAUUUGGAAUAUUGUAAUAAACUGCCUGCUACUGGCCUGCUCCAGUCUCCUUGCUCCAGUCACCCUCCACACACUUGCUAGAGGGACUUUCCUAAAGCACAGGCCUGAUCUUGUCCUGGCCCUACUCAAUGAACGUCGGCAAUGACUGUGUCAAAUAGAAGGUUCUGGCAUUAAAUAAACCAUCAUUUGAUCCCGA